GACAUAUACGCAGAUAUCAACAGAAUUUGCUUCUAUAAUCAAUCGGAUUGUUUAAUCCAUUAUCACGAUGGAUUUAAAUAAAUGUACAUACUCUAAAUUACGACCCAUGCCACAAUGCAUGGCCUUGAAUUGAUCCAACGUCAAAUCUAAUUCAGCUUGAGAAACGCCGUAACCCUAAGUUAUAAUAGUUGUUAAUAAUUCUAAUAUGUUUGAAGAAAAAAGAUUAUCAAAUACAUACCCUGUCAUGGACUAAUUGAUGAGCUGUCUUCCAAGCACGAAACACCCUAACAAUGUUUUUUUCUUCCGCAGACAUUAUGAAAAAUUAAUAAGAAACAAAAAUAGAAAAACUGAGUUAAAAAAUGAGAAUUGAUCUUCUAAAAGAGAUGUUCCCAAAAAGAGGGAGUUACGGC